rnacentral:rRNA from 1 species
GCUGGCGGCGUGCCUAACACCUGCAAGUCGAACGCGCUCCAUUCGGUAGCAAUACUGAUGAAGAGCGAGUGGCGAACGGGUGAGUAGCACGUGAGCAACCUGCCCCGAAGACCGGGACAACACCGGGAAACCGGUGCUAAUACCGGAUAUCCCUAUCGGACCGCAUGAUCUGAUAAGGAAAUGGAUUCCGCUUCGGGAGGGGCUCGCGGCCUAUCAGCUAGUUGGUGAGGUAACGGCCCACCAAGGCAUCGACGGGUAGCUGGUCUGAGAGGACGAUCAGCCACACUGGGACUGAGACACGGCCCAGACUCCUACGGGAGGCAGCAGUGGGGAAUCUUGCGCAAUGGGCGAAAGCCUGACGCAGCAACGCCGCGUGGAGGACGAAGGCUUUCUGAGUUGUAAACUCCUUUCAGCAGGGACGAUAGUGACGGUACCUGCAGAAGAAGCACCGGCCAACUACGUGCCAGCAGCCGCGGUGAUACGUAGGGUGCAAGCGUUGUCCGGAUUUAUUGGGCGUAAAGAGCUCGUAGGCGGUUUGAUAAGUCGGGUGUGAAACCUCCAGGCUCAACCUGGAGCCGCCACUCGAUACUGUCAUGACUAGA